rnacentral:rRNA from 1 species
GGCUCAGAUUGAACGCUGGCGGCAUGCCUUACACAUGCAAGUCGAACGGCAGCACGGGAGCUUGCUCCUGGUGGCGAGUGGCGAACGGGUGAGUAAUACAUCGGAACGUACCCUGAAGUGGGGGAUAACGUAGCGAAAGUUACGCUAAUACCGCAUAUUCUGUGAGCAGGAAAGAGGGGGGAUCGCAAGACCUCUUGCUUUAGGAGCGGCCGAUGUCGGAUUAGCUAGUUGGUGAGGUAAAGGCUCACCAAGGCGACGAUCCGUAGCGGGUCUGAGAGGAUGAUCCGCCACACUGGGACUGAGACACGGCCCAGACUCCUACGGGAGGCAGCAGUGGGGAAUUUUGGACAAUGGGCGCAAGCCUGAUCCAGCCAUGCCGCGUGAGUGAAGAAGGCCUUCGGGUUGUAAAGCUCUUUCGGUGGGGAAGAAAUUGCACAGGAUAAUACCUUGUGUAGAUGACGGUACCCGCAUAAGAAGCACCGGCUAACUACGUG